rnacentral:ncRNA from 1 species
GCUGUGGAGAGCAAAAACAAAUACGAGUAGAUAUUUUUUAUCAAAAGUAUGUUCGUUGAAGCAGCAA